rnacentral:rRNA from 1 species
AGUGAACGCUGGCGGUAGGCCGAACACAUGCAAGUCGAACGGCAGCACAGUAAGAGCUUGCUCUUACGGGUGGCGAGUGGCGGACGGGUGAGGAAUACAUCGGAAUCUACUUUUUCGUGGGGGAUAACGUAGGGAAACGUACGCUAAUACCGCAUACGACCUACGGGUGAAAGCAGGGGAUCUUCGUACCUCGCGCGAUUGAAUGAGCCGAUGUCGGAGUAGCUAGUUGGCGGGGUAAAGGCGCACUAAGGCGACGAUCCUUAGCUGGUCUGAGAGGAAGAUGCGCCACACUGGAACUGCGGCGCGCUCCAGCCUCCUCCGGGAGGCAGGAGUGGGGAAUGUUGGACGUUGGGCGCACGCCUGAUCCAGCCUUACCGCGUGGCUGAGGAGGUCCUUCUCGUUCUAGACCCAUUCUGUUCGGAAGGAGAAGCUGCUGGGUAUACAGGUGCUGUUAUGACGGUACCCAGCAAAUAAGCACCGGCUAACUUCGUG